UGGCGACCGGCGCACGGGUGAGUAACACGUAUCCAACCUGCCGAUGACUCGGGGAUAGCCUUUCGAAAGAAAGAUUAAUACCCGAUGGCAUAGUUCUUCCGCAUGGUGGAACUAUUAAAGAAUUUCGGUCAUCGAUGGGGAUGCGUUCCAUUAGGUUGUUGGCGGGGUAACGGCCCACCAAGCCUUCGAUGGAUAGGGGUUCUGAGAGGAAGGUCCCCCACAUUGGAACUGAGACACGGUCCAGACUCCUACGGGAGGCAGCAUG
rnacentral:rRNA from 1 species